GAAUGGCGGCCGCGGCAAAGCUUAGCCAGCAGCCGCGUACCGAGUCUUGCGUGGUGUCCGGUAACGGUCAUUGCGAAGCGUAGACAGGGAGUUUGUAGGCCGGAACAGCAGUGAACGGGAAUAUGGCCCCGAAAUCGAUCGUGGUUGGAGUAGCCGACCUUGUCCCGCUAAGGGGAAGGCAGAAUCCCAGGAGGUGUCAUUGGCGAGCAUUCUGGGAUGCUUCCGGGGUUCUUACCGCC
rfam:Bradyrhizobium erythrophlei strain GAS478 genome assembly, contig: Ga0132009_11